CCUACGGGGGGCAGCAGUGGGGGAUAUUGGACAAUGGGGGGAACCCUGAUCCAGCGACGCCGCGUGAGUGAAGAAGUAUUUCGGUAUGUAAAGCUCUGUCAGCAGGGAAGAAAGAAAUGACGGUACCUGACCAAGAAGCCCCGGCUAACUACGUGCCAGCAGCCGCGGUAAUACGUAGGGGGCAAGCGUUAUCCGGAAUUACUGGGUGUAAAGGGAGCGUAGACGGUUAAGUAAGUCUGGAGUGAAAGGCCGGGGCGCAACCCUGGGACUGCUCUGGAAACUAUUUAACUUGAGUGCAGGGGAGGUAAGCGGAAUUCCUAGGGUAGCGGUGAAAUGCGUAGAUAUUAGGAGGAACACCAGUGGCGAAGGCGGCUUACUGGACUGUAACUGACGUUGAGGCUCGAAAGCGUGGGGAGCAAACAGGAUUAGAUACCCCAGUAGUC
rnacentral:rRNA from 1 species